UACGAAGGGGGCUAGCGUUGUUCGGAAUUACUGGGCGUAAAGCGCGCGCAGGCGGUCUUCCAAGUCAGUGGUGAAAGCCCGGAGCUCAACUCCGGAACUGCCAUUGAAACUGUUAGACUUGAGGACGAGAGAGGUGAGUGGAAUUCCCAGUGUAGAGGUGAAAAUUCGUAGAUAUUGGGAAGAACACCGGUGGCGAAGGCGGCUCACUGGCUCGUUUCUGACGCUCAGGCGCGACAGCGUGGGGAUCAAACAGG
rnacentral:rRNA from 1 species